GAUGAAGAACGUAGCGAAAUGCGAUACGUAAUGUGAAUUGCAGAAUUCAGUGAAUCAUCGAAUCUUUGAACGCAUAUUGCGCUCUCUGGUAUUCCGGAGAGCAUGCUUGUUUGAGUAUCAGUAAACACCUCAUCUCCCUUUUCUUUUUUGAAAUUGGAGCUGGACUUGAGUGAUCCCAACGCUUUCUUCCAAGAAAGUGGCGGGUUGCUUGAAAUGCAGGUGCAGCUGAACUUUUCUCUGAGCUAUAAGCAUAUCUAUUUAGUCUGCCUAAAAAACAGAUUAUUACCUUUGCUGCAGCUAACAUAACGGAGGCUAGUUCUUGUGCUGACUGAUGCAGGAUUCACAGAGACAGCUUCGGCUGACUUUGUAAACUCGAUCUCAAAUCAAGUAAGACUACCCGCUGAACUUAAGCAUAUCAAUAAGCGGAGGA
rnacentral:misc_RNA from 1 species